UACGAAGGGGGGCUAGCGUUGCUCGGAAUGACUGGGCGUAAAGGGCGCGUAGGCGGUUUGUACAGUCAGAUGUGAAAUUCCCGGGCUCAACCUGGGGGCUGCAUUGAUACGUAUGGACUUGAGUUGCGGAAGAGGGUCCGUGGAAUUCCCAGUGUAGAGGUGAAAUUCGUAGAUAGUUGGGAAGAACACCGGGUGGCGAAGGCGGCGACCUGGUCCGAUACUGACGCUGAGGCGCGAAAGCGUGGGGAGCAAACAGG
rnacentral:rRNA from 1 species